CUACGUAGAACUGUGGUUUGGUAAAUGUCCUGCAGUGAGGGGAAGGCUGCCCCAGAGAUGUACUGUGAGGCCUUAAUCACAUGCUGGAGAGCCUUCCUGUCUUGGACUUUGCAGUUACUGUACCAGACUGUGAUAGCAGUGGUGAGGACACUCUCAAUCAUACACCUGUAGAAGUUGCUGAGAAUUUUGGCUGACAUACCAAAUUUUCUCAGUCUUCUCAGAAAGUACAGUCUCUGUUGGGACUUCUUGAUGAUCUGUUGGGUGUUGUAAGCCCAGGACAUUGUGACUUGAUGAAACAC